CUCGAUUUUGUAUGGUAUGAAAUAAUUUUACUUUUUGUACAGAGGUCGUGUGUUUGGAUGAUCAAAGUUCCAUCUCAGAUGAAGACCCUGUAACUAAAGUGGGUGGUGAUGAAAGUUGCAGUUUAGAUGAACUUCCUGAAACCCUCAUAGGACAAAAUGUUGCAGAACAGUGUAUCUUCCACGUGUUCCAUAUGUGGAAGAGGCUUUAAUUACAUACAGCGAGGACAAUCUACUGGGAGAAGGGACAUUUGGCAAGG